UCAAAACAUCUCUAAGAUGAUCUAAGUUCUCUCUAGAGCAAACCUCUCUAAGAGCAACUCCUUUCCUUCUCUUUCUCUUAUCGGUGAUCACACUCCUAGUCCUAGUCUUCUCGGAAGCCGACUUUCAGUGCCACCAAACCCUCUGUCAACGUACUUCGGUCCUAGUCUCCUCGGGAGCCGACGGUAGUGCCGCGACCACAACGGUUACAGAACCUGCCAAGCAAGGGUAACGCCCUAGCAACCCAGCCAAGCUAAAGUCACGCUUUAGCAAGUUCUCAAUACUUCCCGGUGAUGUCGCUCUGCUCAAUCUACAAUAUUGAGUAUCGAUUGUGUUAACAAGAAGAAACUUCAGCAAAGUCCUCACCACGAGGCAUAAAGAAUCCCACGACGAGGUUGGUGCUCUCCUCGUCUACAAUCGCUUGAUAGAAGUCAGGUCAAGGGACACCCCCGACGACCGCACCCGAACGGUACUGGCACGCCCGCGCAGAAAAUAGACUGUUGACCAGCUGCAACAAAAUUGGAGCCAAACAGAUAGUAUUUUUGAAAUACAAUCUCUUUUGAUUUUAUCUCAUUUUCUCCACUUCCUAUGUUGGUGUGCAAGACUUUUCUGUAGCAGACCACACAGAGUCUACUACUCGUGCAAAACCCUGCAUGUGUUGCAUGGUUUCGUGAACUCGACUUCUCUGGCCUAGAAGUCACUGGUAACAUCUCAAACAUUUUCUUCAAUUUGGUCAUCAUCGUUGAAUGAUAAACUUAACUAAGGACGUACCUUAGGGAAGGGAAAACAAAAUAGUACACUACUAGGAAAAAAAUCGGUAAAUUCAGCUAUGUACUUCUAUUAUUUGCUCAAAUGUACAAAUCAUCCUGGCACUAAUAUACUCCAUUUCGUAUGAACAA